GUUGCGGUGGCCGAGUGGUUAAGUCGUUGGACUAGAAAUCCAAUGGGAUCUUCCCGCGCAGGCCCGAAUCCUGCCCGCAACG
rfam:Nematostella vectensis strain CH2 x CH6 NEMVEscaffold_504_Cont28931, whole genome shotgun sequence.